UACAGAGGUGCCAAGCGUUAGGCGGAAUCACUGGGCUUAAAGCGCGCGUAGGCGGAUGUUUAAGUGUCUUGUGAAAUCCCACGGCUCAACCGUGGAACUGCUGGGCAUACUGGACAUCUCGAGGCACUCAGGGGCGAGCGGAACAAGUGGUGGAGCGGUGAAAUGCGUAGAUAUCACUUGGAACGCCAAUGGUGAAGACAGCUCGCUGGGGGUGUCCUGACGCUGAGGCGCGAAAGCUAGGGGAGCGAACGGG
rnacentral:rRNA from 1 species